GGUGCUAGUGGCAGACGGGUGAGUAACACGUGGGAACGUACCUUUCGGUUCGGAAUAAUCCAGGGAAACUUGGACUAAUACCGGAUACGCCCUUCGGGGGAAAGAUUUAUCGCCGAUAGAUCGGCCCGCGUCUGAUUAGCUAGUUGGUGAGGUAAUGGCUCACCAAGGCGACGAUCAGUAGCUGGUCUGAGAGGAUGAUCAGCCACAUUGGGACUGAGACACGGCCCAAACUCCUACGGGAGGCAGCAGUGGGGAAUAUUGGACAAUGGGCGCAAGCCUGAUCCAGCCAUGCCGCGUGAGUGAUGAAGGCCUUAGGGUUGUAAAGCUCUUUUGUCCGGGAAGAUAAUGACUGUACCGGAAGAAUAAGCCCCGGCUAACUUCGUGCCAGCAGCCGCGGUAAUACGAAGGGGGCUAGCGUUGCUCGGAAUCACUGGGCGUAAAGGGCGCGUAGGCGGACUCUUAAGUCGGGGGUGAAAGCCCAGGGCUCAACCCUGGAAUAGCCUUCGAUACUGAGAGUCUUGAGUUCGGAAGAGGUUGGUGGAAUUGCGAGUGUAGAGGUGAAAUUCGUAG
rnacentral:rRNA from 1 species